AGAGUUUGAUCAUGGCUCAGGACGAACGCUGGCGGCGUGCCUAAUACAUGCAAGUAGAACGCUGAAGAGAGGAGCUUGCUCUUCUUGGAUGAGUUGCGAACGGGUGAGUAACGCGUAGGUAACCUGCCUUGUAGCGGGGGAUAACUAUUGGAAACGAUAGCUAAUACCGCAUAACAAUGGAUGACACAUGUCAUUUAUUUGAAAGGGGCAAUUGCUCCACUACAAGAUGGACCUGCGUUGUAUUAGCUAGUAGGUGAGGUAAUGGCUCACCUAGGCGACGAUACAUAGCCGACCUGAGAGGGUGAUCGGCCACACUGGGACUGAGACACGGCCCAGACUCCUACGGGAGGCAGCAGUAGGGAAUCUUCGGCAAUGGGGGCAACCCUGACCGAGCAACGCCGCGUGAGUGAAGAAGGUUUUCGGAUCGUAAAGCUCUGUUGUAAGUCAAGAACGGGUGUGAGAGUGGAAAGUUCACACUGUGACGGUAGCUUGCCAGAAAGGGACGGCUAACUACGUGCCAGCAGCCGCGGUAAUACGUAGGUCCCGAGCGUUGUCCGAAUUUAUUGGGCGUAAAGCGAGCGCAGGCGGUUUGAUAAGUUUGAAGUUAAAGGCUGUGGCUCAACCAUAGUUCGCUUUGGAAACUGUCAAACUUGAGUGCAGAAGGGGAGAGUGGAAUUCCAUGUGUAGCGGUGAAAUGCGUAGAUAUAUGGAGGAACACCGGUGGCGAAAGCGGCUCUCUGGUCUGUAACUGACGCUGAGGCUCGAAAGCGUGGGGAGCGAACAGGAUUAGAUACCCUGGUAGUCCACGCCGUAAACGAUGAGUGCUAGGUGUUGGAUCCUUUCCGGGAUUCAGUGCCGCAGCUAACGCAUUAAGCACCCCGCCUGGGGAGUACGACCGCAAGGUUGAAACUCAAAGGAAUUGACGGGGGCCCGCACAAGCGGUGGAGCGUGUGGUUUAAUUCGAAGCAACGCGAAGAACCUUACCAGGUCUUGACAUCCCGAUGCUAUUUCUAGAGAUAGAAAGUUACUUCGGUACAUCGGUGACAGGUGGUGCAUGGUUGUCGUCAGCUCGUGUCGUGAGAUGUUGGGUUAAGUCCCGCAACGAGCGCAACCCCUAUUGUUAGUUGCCAUCAUUCAGUUGGGCACUCUAGCGAGACUGCCGGUAAUAAACCGGAGGAAGGUGGGGAUGACGUCAAAUCAUCAUGCCCCUUAUGACCUGGGCUACACACGUGCUACAAUGGUUGGUACAACGAGUUGCGAGUCGGUGACGGCGAGCUAAUCUCUUAAAGCCAAUCUCAGUUCGGAUUGUAGGCUGCAACUCGCCUACAUGAAGUCGGAAUCGCUAGUAAUCGCGGAUCAGCACGCCGCGGUGAAUACGUUCCCGGGCCUUGUACACACCGCCCGUCACACCACGAGAGUUUGUAACACCCGAAGUCGGUGAGGUAACCUUUUGGAGCCAGCCGCCUAAGGUGGGACAGAUGAUUGGGGUGAAGUCGUAACAAGGUA
rnacentral:rRNA from 1 species